UGUCGGUAGUAAUGUUGGACCUGUUACUGGUACAGGUAGUAGUGCCAGUAGUAGUGUAGGUAGUAGUAGUGUCAGUAGUAGUAGUGUCAGUAGUAGUAGUGUCAGUAGUAGUACUAUGAACGAUAAUAGCAAAGAAGACGUUUCCAAUAUUGAAAAACCAAUCAACACGAACAACUCAAAUUUAAUUAACAAAAUUAAUGACAAUUCGCAAACACAUACUGAAAAUAAAACAGAUUCCUUUAACAAUUUGAAAACGAAUGAUACCCAAAACGUUGAUAAUAAUGGAAAUAAUGAAAAUUAUGGAAUUAAUGAACACGAGCGUACCCAAACAAAUUUAAACGAACCCGAGAAAAUAAGAGACAGUAACACAAACAUUAGUAUGAAGAACGAAACUAGUACUAUUGAAACUGUGGACAGAACAACUGAAAGUGUUAUAAAAGUAAACGCAGCAGCAACAGAAGAAAAGGGAGUAGCAGAAAAGGGAGUAGCAGAAAAGGGGGUAGCAGAAAAGGGGGUAGCGGAAAAGGGAGUAACGGAAAAAAUAGUNNNNNNNNNNGAUGAUGAAACAGUUGGUACUGUCGGUAGUAAUGUUGGACCUGUUACUGGUACAGGUAGUAGUGCCAGUAGUAGUGUAGGUAGUAGUAGUGUCAGUAGUAGUAGUGUCAGUAGUAGUAGUGUCAGUAGUAGUACUAUGAACGAUAAUAGCAAAGAAGACGUUUCCAAUAUUGAAAAACCAAUCAACACGAACAACUCAAAUUUAAUUAACAAAAUUAAUGACAAUUCGCAAACACAUACUGAAAAUAAAACAGAUUCCUUUAACAAUUUGAAAACGAAUGAUACCCAAAACGUUGAUAAUAAUGGAAAUAAUGAAAAUUAUGGAAUUAAUGAACACGAGCGUACCCAAACAAAUUUAAACGAACCCGAGAAAAUAAGAGACAGUAACACAAACAUUAGUAUGAAGAACGAAACUAGUACUAUUGAAACUGUGGACAGAACAACUGAAAGUGUUAUAAAAGUAAACGCAGCAGCAACAGAAGAAAAGGGAGUAGCAGAAAAGGGAGUAGCAGAAAAGGGGGUAGCAGAAAAGGGGGUAGCGGAAAAG
rnacentral:lncRNA from 1 species